rnacentral:rRNA from 1 species
GUGGGGAAUCUUGCGCAAUGGGCGAAAGCCUGACGCAGCCAUGCCGCGUGAAUGAUGAAGGUCUUAGGAUUGUAAAAUUCUUUCACCGGGGACGAUAAUGACGGUACCCGGAGAAGAAGCCCCGGCUAACUUCGUGCCAGCAGCCGCGGUAAUACGAAGGGGGCUAGCGUUGCUCGGAAUUACUGGGCGUAAAGGGCGCGUAGGCGGACAGUUUAGUCAGAGGUGAAAGCCCAGGGGUCAACCUUGGAAUUGCCUUUGAUACUGGCUGUCUUGAGUACGGGAGAGGUGAGUGGAACUCCGAGUGUAGAGGUGAAAUUCGUAGAUAUUCGGAAGAACACCAGUGGCGAAGGCGACUCACUGGCCCGUUACUGACGCUGAGGCGCGAAAGCGUGGGGAGCAAACAGGAUUAGAAACCCCGGUAGUCC